rnacentral:lncRNA from 1 species
CAGGAUCACGCCCUGGGCCAAAGGCAGGCGCUAAACCACUGCGCUACCCAGGGAUCCCAAGCAGCUGUAGUUCACUGCUGCUUUCUAUGUUUUGAAACUAUGAGCAUGUUUAAAGGGGGCUUGAGAAACACUCGACUGGUGGCUGCAGGGAUUUCUGCAGAAGGGUUCCAAGGAGCCAAAAGCAUCACGGGCCCCUGUCCUGUCCCUCAGAACAGUGGAAUGGUCAUUACCUGAACUACAGUCGACGUCAGCGGCUGGGGAGGUCCUCAGAGCAUGAGCAGCUCCUCUUAGGUAAUAUGGAGUAAGGAAGCCCAGUGGCUUCGGAGCCAAACCCUAAAGCGGAUGUGAACUUGUCAGGGAAGCCAAGGAGGUUUUUAGAGGGUGAUGUCACAACUGACCAGAGUUCACCUCAGUUACAUGGUCACCGGGUCACAAUUCUGAGGUAUGGCUGGGGUACAGCCUCGAAGCCAGAGAGCAGGAAGGAGCGAGGGAGGACAGGACAUGGAGACAGAAGGAAAAACAAGAAAGUGAAGGAGAUGUAGGAAGUGACACACAGGAGCCUGGGACGGGUGCCCUGGCUUCUGUCCUCAGAGCCAGCUGUUCAGGGGCAGAGAAGGUGACAGCUGUCCCAUGGAGAGAGAAGCCGAGAUCCACAGUGAAUCCUGAGGCUGAGGGUGGGAGUUCACUGGCUUCCGGCCAAGGAGCUCCUGGCAGGCAUCUCCUCAGGGUGGACAGAGCUGCACUCACCACCAAGGAUGCUGUCAUGGAGUUGGCGAGCAACGGGUCUAGCUCCACUGAUGGCUCCCCUACUGAGGAAAUGAGGCUCCGCUCAACACUGACUUCAUCCACCAACCCCACCUGGAUCUCCGUUCUUUUGGAAUUGCCCCCAGAGUCUGCUCAGCAUUCUUGAAAAUGUUCUUCAAAGGUUGCUAGUUCUCAUCGUUGGAGGGUUGAUCUGAUAUUUAGAAGCAUUUUAAAGCCAUUUGAGGCCAAUCCCAGGGAAUUAGGUGAGUAAUCAAACUGGGUAAUAGGAUUUUUCGGUCAAUAACGAGGUGGGGUGGAGUGGUUUAUUUUUUUUCCAUGUGGCCCACACAAACGGACUCUGAAGGCAAUUCCAAAAGAGAUGCCACAAGGUACUUGAGCAAUGGCAGCUUCCCUGGAAUAGGAUGGAGCUUUCCAGUGGAAUGUCUUUGGAGUCCUAGUCUGUUUGCUGAAAAAACACAGUCAUUAUUUUAUAAUCACAUCUUGCAUAAACAUCAGCUUUUCUCUCCUGGCUCUGAAGCUGGC